GUUAUAAAGGUGAAAUUCACACCACCUUUUCGAGGUGGAGACGUCCUUCUUGGUCUUAUAAUA
rnacentral:tRNA from 1 species